rnacentral:lncRNA from 1 species
AAUACACUAUAUCAAUUUGGCACAACAUUGAUUCAAAAAUUCACACAUAAAAAUCCAGACAUCCAAAAUUCAUGAAAUUAACAUCAUAAAAAAGUAGACAUCAAUACAAAACCAUGAAAAAAAAUUGGGACUCAUUUGGAUCAUUUUUGCAUUUUUAAUGAUUUAAACAAAACAAGCAAAAUAAUUGAAAUAACAAAUGAAAAUGGAGGGAAACGAAUUAAUUUGAAUAAAUCCAGAAAAA